CGGGGUGUGGCGCAGCCUGGUAGCGCAUCUGCUUUGGGAGCAGGGGGUCGGAGGUUCAAAUCCUCUCGCCCCGACCA
rnacentral:tRNA from 1 species